rnacentral:rRNA from 1 species
UACGUAGGUGACAAGCGUUGUCCGGAUUUACUGGGCGUAAAGAGCGCGCAGGCGGUCGAUCAAGUCGAGUGUGAAAGCCCCCGGCUCAACUGGGGAGGGUCAUUCGAUACUGGUCGACUCGAAGGCAGGAGAGGGAAGCGGAAUUCCCGGUGUAGUGGUGAAAUGCGUAGAUAUCGGGAGGAACACCAGUGGCGAAGGCGGCUUCCUGGCCUGUUCUUGACGCUGAGACGCGAAAGCGUGGGGAGCAAACAGG